CAGCAGCCACGGGAAUACGUAGGGUGCAAGCGUUAAUCGGAAUUACUGGGCGUAAAGCGUGCGCAGGCGGUUAUAUAAGACAGAUGUGAAAUCCCCGGGCUCAACCUGGGAACUGCAUUUGUGACUGUAUAGCUAGAGUACGGCAGAGGGGGAUGGAAUUCCGCGUGUAGCAGUGAAAUGCGUAGAUAUGCGGAGGAACACCGAUGGCGAAGGCAAUCCCCUGGGCCUGCACUGACGCUCAUGCACGAAAGCGUGGGGAGCAAACGGGAUUAGAUACCCCGGUAGUCCCUGUCUCUUAUAA
rnacentral:rRNA from 1 species